UACGUAGGGGGCGAGCGUUGUCCGGAGUUACUGGGCGUAAAGCGCACGCAGGCGGUCUGCUAAGUUUGGAGUGACAGUUGGUGGCUCAACCACCAAAGUGCUUUGAAAACUGACAGACUUGAGGGCUUCAGAGGGACACGGAAUUCCGGGUGGAGUGGUGAAAUGCGUAGAUAUCGGGAGGAACACCGGUGGCGAAGGCGGUUCUCUGGGCCUUACCUGACGCUGAGGAGCGAAAGCGUGGGGAGCGAACAGG
rnacentral:rRNA from 1 species